rnacentral:misc_RNA from 1 species
UACGUAGGUGGCAAGCGUUGUCCGGAAUUAUUGGGCGUAAAGCGCGCGCGGGCGGUUCCUUAAGUCUGAUGUGAAAGCCCACGGCUCAACCGUGGAGGGUCAUUGGAAACGGGGGAACUUGAGUACAGAAGAGGAAAGUGGAAUUCCACGUGUAGCGGUGAAACGCGUAGAGCGGUGGGGGAACACCAGUGGCGAAGGCGACUUUCUGGUCUGUAACUGACGCUGAGGCGCGAAAGCGUGGGGAGCAAAAAGG